rnacentral:tRNA from 1 species
GGCCGUAUGGCAGCCAAUUAGGCGUAAUUGCGACCCGGAAAAACUAUUGGAGAGCGCAGCCUGAUUGAUUUUCCCUUGGGACUUAAAAUCCCCCGCUCGUAAGGGCGUGCCGGUUCGAUUCCGGCUUCGGGCACCA